rnacentral:rRNA from 1 species
GUGUCAGCCGCCGCGGUAAUACAGAGGGUGCGAGCGUUGUCCGGAAUCACUGGGCGUAAAGGGCGCGUAGGCGGCCUGGUAAGUCGGGGGUGAAACGCUGCGGCUCAACCGCAGCACUGCCUUCGAGACUGUCAGGCUUGAGCACGGUAGAGGCUGGUGGAAUUCCCGGUGUAGCGGUGGAAUGCGUAGAGAUCGGGAAGAACAUCGGUGGCGAAGGCGGCCAGCUGGGCCGUUGCUGACGCUGAGGCGCGACAGCGUGGGGAGCAAACAGGAUUAGAUACCCCCGUAGUCC